AAAAGUAGCACUCGAAAACACACAACAAAGUAGUCCUUCAAAUUCACCAGAAAAAACUACUCCUGAAUAGUAGUUACAAUUUUAAAAGGCAAAAGGAAAAGCCCCAAAAAAUGGAAGAAAACCAAAUAAAAAUGAGACUCAACUCAUUGAGCCAAAUGCGAUCAAAUGCAUGGGCACUUCUUCACACAAAAAAACAAAAUAGAAAAUGUUGAAAAACUGCGGCAGUAUGAUUCAAAUUUGUGGGUGUCCAUAGGGCGACGUGUGGGCGUGACCGGGCGACUUACACGGAAAUUGUGCCAAGCCCUUAAAUGAGCUCUAUUGUCUGGGAAAUACAUCACCCAUAUAUAAAUUUGUUUUUGCUUUUGCUUAACUUAAUUUUUGAUCAAUUUUAAUCCGAAGCUGAUGAAAAAUUCUCUGUGAUUGCGAUAGUUGAGUAUUUCGCAUUAAUUCUU